GUGACAAGAUAUUGCUUAUACUGGGAAUGACCUUUUAAAUAUGACUAGCUGAUGAUGAGCAGAGCAAUGGACAGAAUGAUGGAGAAACUUUUUAAUACAAUCAAGGGUUUAGGCAGAAUCACGAUGGCUUAUAUUGUAAGGUUCUUCUUGUGAAUGUUUUGGAUAAGUUUGAUUUAUUCUACGAUGCUAUAAGGUGGCAUAAUCCUCAUGCGGAAUUCCAUUCUAAGGCCAUUAUUUCACAACCAAAGGCUCUUAAAAUAAAAAUGAGAUGUCCUGUUUGGGGGCUUUUAUUGAAUCCUUUGUCGGUUUGCAAGGACAACCUAGAAGAGUAUGUUUCUUGAGGAGAAAACAAGGCAUCUUGGGAUAAGUUCGUUCUGUUUUUUUCUCAAACUGGGACAGACCGAAUGCAGGAGAAACAAUAUUUCCUAUUCAAUGAAGUGUGUGUAGAAUCGAGAAGGCCUAAUGUGGGGAAGCAAUUAUGGGUGAAUUAUUGGAUUGCUCUGUCUUAUUCUUGGUUCUAUGAAGUGGCAAAUAAUUAUGCCUGCUUUGACCAUUAUUUCACACUCUAAUGCCUCCUCUAAGUACAAAUUUGAUAUCUUGUUGUGGACAUUUUUAUUGAAGUUACUGAAGGCAUCAAUCUAGAAGCGUUUUGAGCUGCUGUAAAUGCGAUCAAGGAGGGAUGUUGGUGAAGCUAAACAUACAAAACUCUGGAGGCAUCAAAUUCUGUCUAAAGAAGAUGAUUGAAUGUAUUAAGGCUUGUACAAACUUGUAGCAGUUCCAUUCAACACUUUGAUAUAUUCUUUCUUGUUACGAACUCAUUGGCCCCAGUGUUAUGUGCUUGCUAAUUACACGGAUUAUAUAUUUCACCUUUCUUUUCCAUUCUCCUUAAAAGCUCAUUGUAAAUUCAGGCACUCAAGCUAUGAUGCAAUCUUGCCCCC